GAGGGUAGAGCUCAGUGGUAGAGCACAUGCUUAGCAUGCACAAGGUCCUGGGUUCAACCCCCAGUACCUCCA
rnacentral:tRNA from 1 species